GGGCUCACACAAGCGGUGGAGGAUGUGGCUUAAUUCGAGGCUACGCGAAGAACCUUAUCCUGGUCUUGACAUGUUUAGGAAUAUCUGUGAAAGCAGAUAGUGCCUUCGGGAGCCUUUGCACAGGUGCUGCAUGGCUGUCGUCAGCUCGUGUCGUGAGAUGUCGGGUUAAGUCCCUAACGAGCGAAACCCUUAUGUCUAGUUGCCAGCGAGUAAUGUCGGGGACUCUAGACAGACUGCCGGUGUUAAACCGGGAGGAAGGUGGGGAUGACGUCAAGUCCUCAUGGCCUUUAUGAUCAGGGCUGCACACGUCCUACAAUCCAACGUACAAAGGGAAGCGAAACGCGAGGUCAAGCA
rnacentral:rRNA from 1 species